GGCAGAGCCAGGCCCUCCUGCUCCAGCAGGGCUGAGCGGCUGGAAGUGUGUAAUCUUCGGAAAGCUGUGACUGCGACCUGGAGUUGCGUAAGAAAUAAUUACAGAAUCCAGCCAGGGCUUGCUUCUUGCCACAGGCUCCAGGCUUUUACCCCCGACAUGUGUUCUGGUGAAUGGAGUGAGAUGAGGACUGGGUUUGAGAAGAUUUUGUUGGCUCCACAUGGUUUUGCAAAUCAACCUGCUGCUCCAGUGAUGACAUGCUGCUGAGGGAAGGUUUGGUGGUUCCUGGGAAGUUGAAAGGAUCUGGGCAAGCUUUUUAUUGCUGACUGUGUGCAACUGCCGCAAGGGGUCAAAAGUGCUUGGUUUGCACAACAUCUCCCCGGCAUUCUUACACGUGUGGUUAUGGAAUCAGGGUGCAGGGAAGGGUCAUGGAGCAGAGGGAAUUGCAUGUGCUCGAUCUUUUUCACAUUGGAGCUGCUUUCUGAAACCCGGCACGGGGAAGGUGAGGGUGCUGGAUAGUUUGGGGGGGCCACAGAGUCCUGUGGGUGUUAAAUCUCGGUCCCCCUCUGGGGACUUGUCCUUGCAGGGUGCUCAUCCAGGCCUUAAAAGUUGGCAGCAUCCCCCAGGAACUACCCUGUGAACAAAUCCAGGCUUUCGGAAGCACGUGAUUCUGCAGAAAUGCCACAUUCUCUUCCACAUGGGCUGUGGGCUCUGAGUCCCCCUUUGCUUCCUCGGCCUAUGUACCUGCUGAAGAAGACAGUUGUGUCGUGUACAUGCAACCUAAGGAGGUAACCUUUUACCCAGCCUGAGACUUCAGAGGGUAUUCAUAUUGGGGACCAGCAGCCCGUGAUGUUUGUCCCCCAGAGAGGGGGAGAGAGCUGCUGCCUGCAGAGUGGCUGCUCCUGCUUUGCACGGCCCCUGGCUUCUGCAUCCCUCCAUCCUCCAGCUGGGCACAGAGGUUGCCAAAAGGGCCAGUAGGAGGAGAAGGCUUCAUGGAGGACGGGGGCAAGAGCGGGCCGACCAUGCUGGCUUCCUCGCCUUGUGUCUGGCUGACUGCACAGGCCUGAGGAGGUAACCAACAGCAGAAACAGCUCUGGACAAAUGAGCAAAGGAAGACUCGACUGAGUUUCCCCAGAAUGGAGAGGAGCUGAGGAAGCUCCAGGGCCCACAGCGGAAGCUGGUGGACCAUUUCACUAGGACCCUGGGAGCAAAUCAGUCUGACUUGUGUUUGGCCCCUGAAUCCCCCUGCUCAAGGCUCAGAGUCCUGGAGAAUUGAGGGCAACCCCCACAUUGCAUGCCAUGGAUGGUGGCUUCCCCAGGGGAGUCGGGGUGCUAGGACUAGAGCAUGCCUCCUACAAAUGUUGACUUCCCCAGAAAAAUACCAGCUCUCUUAAGUAAGGGUGGGUCUAUCUGUGGGGAUGAUAGGGUCACCCUUAUUAUUCAUACGUUCCCUGGGCCUGAGAACUUACCUGGAAUACACUUUGUUAAAUAGUAAUA
rnacentral:lncRNA from 1 species